AUUGAACGCUGGCGGCAGGCCUAACACAUGCAAGUCGAGCGGAUGAAGGGAGCUUGCUCCUGGAUUCAGCUGCGGACGGGUGAGUAAUGCCUAGGAAUCUGCCUGGUAGUUGGGGAUAACGUCCGGAAACGGGCGCUAAUACCGCAUACGUCCUGAGGGAGAAAGUGGGGGAUCUUCGGACCUCACGCUAUCAGAUGAGCCUAGGUCGGAUUAGCUAGUUGGUGGGGUAACGGCCUACCAAGGCGACGAUCCGUAACUGGUCUGAGAGGAUGAUCAGUCACACUGGAACUGAGACACGGUCCAGACUCCUACGGGAGGCAGCAGUGGGGAAUAUUGGACAAUGGGCGAAAGCCUGAUCCAGCCAUGCCGCGUGUGUGAAGAAGGUCUUCGGAUUGUAAAGCACUUUAAGUUGGGAGGAAGGGCAGUAAGUUAAUACCUUGCUGUUUUGACGUUACCAACAGAAUAAGCACCGGCUAACUUCGU
rnacentral:rRNA from 1 species